rnacentral:tRNA from 1 species
AACGCACACCGAAAGGUGUGCCUCGGCUU